GCGACAAAGGCCGUAGCCUAGGCCUCAAAAUUUCCUCAAACUAUAUAGGCCCAUGGAUGAUUUGGGUAUGAAAAAAUAAAAAUAAAAAUAAAAAAAAUAAAUUUAGGGCAAAUCAUUUCAGCCUCCCCAAUCGCCUCCGUCUCUAUUCUCGUUCUCAACUCUGAAGUCUGAACUUGCCCACUCCCUCUCUCUCUCUCUCUCUCUCUCUCUGCAACUGCAAACUACAAAAUCUACAAGAAUCAGAAGUUCAAAACCCAUAUAUUUCAGUUUGUCUGCAAGAAUCAAAAGUUGAAAACCUAUUACCUAUAUCAAAACCCAUAUCGGCAUAUCAUUUCAGAUUGUUCAAAAAAUCGAAACCCAUAUCUUUCAAGUUUCCAUCGCCCGCUGUUCCAGAUCGGGUUCGCCGUUCGCAAGCUUCAGCCGCUGUCUCUCAACUCUCAAGCUUGCCCCCCUAUCUCUCUGCAACUGCUAAUUUGCAUUGCAUUUUGAGAAAAUUUGAAUCUGGGCAUGAAAAAAGAAGGAAAAAAAAAAAAAAAAAUCUGCGGAGGUUGAAUCUGAGACAAUUUUUAUCAACAUGCCAAGCGUUUUGGAGAUGGAAAUCUUUUCAGAACUAAAAAAAAAAAAAAAAUUCAUAACAAGAAUUUUGACAAGCAAAACUACUUAAUAUAGGGUAAAGCUCUAAAGUUACUUCUUGAAAAUUAAAAUAUUUUCAAAAAGCAUGCUUUUGAGUGAAUUCCAUAGUGUUGGAAGGGGCUUGCCAUGAACUACCUCACACUCUACGUCCACUUGUAAAUUCUUCAAAAGAAGAGAUAGGGUGGUUGCCCCUCUUUGUAAACAAUGAUCUCGUACAAAAUAAGGGUGGUUGCCAACUCUGAACUUGCCCUGCACUCGGAAAAAGAAUGAGGCUCGUUCAGAGGGAUGGGAUGUUUCUAAUGGUGGUUGCCCCUCUCUGUAAACGAUGAUCUCCUACAAAAUAAGGGAUGGGAGAUCAUCUAGAGCCAAUGAUUUCAUUUCCAGCAGAAUCAACAGCCCUUUGUGUAUGUCUAUAUAUAUAUAUUUGUGUGUGUGCGUGCGCAUGCUGGACUGGUGCAUCUCCAAUCCUUCUUCUUCCAUCAUCAUCAUCAUCAUCAUCAAUCAUCAUUAUAAGAGGCUGUGAUGACAUAUGUUCUGAGUGGAUCAUACUGGCAUUGAGAAUCGUAUCCGUUUGUUGGUGGGGCAAACCAGAGGGUCUAUGGGAGAGAGAUUUGGUUCUUCUCUCACAGGCAACUGUUCUUGCAGCCAGGGCGGUGGGAUAUACUCUUGCCCUGAUCAAAAGCAGAUCUGAGCCUCAAUUGUAUUUUAUUGAAAAUUUUCAAAAAAAAAAAAAAAAACUCUUAUAAUGUUUUUUUUUUUUUUUUUUUUGCAAUAUAAAUUAACAAAAUUUGCAUUAAUCACUGUAAUCUACAUUUUAUUUCAGCAAAACAAAUAUUUUUUUUAGGGCAAAUCAUUUCAGCCUCCCCAAUCGCCUCCAUCUUUAUUCUUGUUCUCAACUCUGAACUUGCCCUGCACUCGGAAAAAGAAUGAGGCUCGUUCAGAGGGAUGGGAUGUUUCUAAGGGUGGUUGCCCCUCUCUGUAAACGAUGAUCUCCUACAAAAUAAGGGAUGUGAGAUCAUCUAGAGCCAAUGAUUUCAUUUCCUACAGAAUCAACAACCCUCUGUGUAUGUUUAUAUAUAUUUCAUUUCCUACAGAGUCAACAACCCUUUGUGUGUGCGCACGCGCGCUGGACUGGUGCGUCUCCAAUCCUUCUUCUUCCAUUAUCAUCAUCAUCAAUCAUCAUUAUAAGAGGCUGAGAUGAUAUAUGUUCAGAGUGGAUCAUACUGGCAUUGAGAAUCGGAUCCGUUUGUUGGCGGGGCAAACCAGAGGGUCUGUGGGAGAGAGAUUUGGUUCGUCUCUCACAGGCAACUGUUGUUGUAGCCAGGGCGGUGGGAUAUACUCUUGCCAUGAUCAAAAGCAGAUCUGAGCCUCAAUUGUAUUUUAUUGAAAAUUUUCAAAAAAAAAAAAAAAAAAACUCUUAUAUGUUUUUUUUUUUUUUUUUUUUUGCAAUAUAAAGUAACAAAAUUUGCAUUACAUUUUGAGGUAAUCACCGAAAUCUACAUUUUAUUUCAGCAAAACAAAUAUUUUUUUUAGGGCAAAUCAUUUCAGCCUCCCCAAUCGCCUCCAUCUUUAUUCUUGUUCUCAACUCUGAACUUGCCCUGCACUCGGAAAAAGAAUGAGGCUCGUUCAGAGGGAUGGGAUGUUUCUAAGGGUGGUUGCCCCUCUCUAUAAACGAUGAUCUCCUACAAAAUAAGGGAUGUGAGAUCAUCUAGAGCCAAUGACUUCAUUUCCUACGGAAUCAACAGCCCCUUGUGUGCGCGCGCUGGACUGGUGCGUCUCCAAUCCUUCUUCUUCCAUUAUCAUCAUCAUCAACAAUCAUCAUUAUAAGAGGCUGUGAUGAUAUAUGUUCUGAGUGGAUCUGUCACGUCCCGAAAAUUCUAAUAAAAUCCUCAAUUCAUUCAAAUCAAAAUACAUCAAAAUACACCAGGAACAAAAAAAAAAAUGCCUCAUUUAUACAAAGUCAAUUUCCUCAAAUAUAUAUAAAAUUCUCCAAAUAAAUAAAAUAAAUCCUGCAACGCCAACUCUUCCACCUAAGCCUGAAUUUAGCAAUCCCCGUUCAUCUUUGGUACCCGAAACUGGAGGGUUGUGAGACAAAGUCAUAACAAGAAUUUCAUGAGAUUUAAUAAAACAGCUUCAUAAAAUAUACAUAUUCAUGUGAGCAUAUAAACAAAAUACAUAUGCAUUUAAUUAAAGCAUUUAAUAAAAAACCAUUGAAGCAAAACCACCCCAUGCCAUUCAAGGUAUAGAGAACCCUACACUGAAAAAGAAAUAUUUCUUCACUGGAUCAUCAAAGCCUCAAGCUCCAGGACUCCUCUCCUCUGCAACCUCAGCUCCUCUCUCUGUCUCUCUCUCUCUAAUUUUUCUUUCUUUCUUCUCUUCUCCUUUCCUAUUUCUUUCUCUCAAAAUUUCGGCAGCCACCUAUCACCAUCAGAUUACAUAUAUAUUUAUAUAUAUAUAUAUAUAUAUAUAAAAUCAAAACAUCAAACACACUAAAAAUUUAAAUUGGGUAAAUCUCCAAAUUUAAAAUUAAAUAAGACAGCUAAAAAUUAUGAAAUAAAUUAAAUUAAAAUGUAAAAAAUUCGGGUUAUCAGAGGAUCAUACUGGCAUUGAGAAGCGGAUCCGUUUGUUGGCGGGGCAAACCAGAGGGUCUGUGGGAAAGAGAUUUGUUUCUUCUCUCACAGGCAACUGUUGUUGCAGCCAGGGCGGUGGGAUAUACUCUUGCCAUGAUCAAAAGGAGAUCUGAGCCUCAAUUGUAUUUUAUUGAACAUUUUCCAAAAAAAAAAAAAAAAAACACUCUUAUAAUGUUUUUUUUUUGCAAUAUAAAGUAACAAAAUUUGCAUUUCAUUUUGAGGUAAUCACCUUAAUCUACAUUUUAUUUCAGCAAAACAAAUAUUUUUUUUAGGGCAAAUCAUUUCAGCCUCCCCAAUCGCCUUCAUCUUUAUUUUUGUUCUCAACUCUGAACUUACCCUGCACUCGGAAAAAGAAUGCCCCUCUCUGUAAACGAUGAUCUCCAACAAAAUAAGGGAUGUGAGAUCAUCUAGUGCCAAUGAUUUCAUUUCCUACAGAAUCAACAGCCCUUUGUGUAUGUAUAUAUAUAUUUCAAUUCCUACAGAAUCAACAGCCCUUUGUGUGUCUGUGCGCGCUGGACUGGUGCGUCUCCAAUCCUUCUUCUUCCAUCAUCAUCAUCAUCAAUCAUCAUUAUAAGAGGGUGUGAUGAUAUAUUUUCUGAGUGGAUCAUGCUGGCAUUGAGAAUCGGAUCUGUUUGUUGGCGGAGCAAACCAGAGGGUCUGUGGCAGAGAGAUUUGGUUCUUCUCUCACAGGCAACUGUUGUUGCAGCCAGGGCGGUGGGAUAUACUCUUGCUCUGAUCAAAAGCAGGCCUGAGCCUCAAUUGUAAGUUAUGAAUUAUGUAUCCAUAAAUAAACCUCUGAGCCAAUUAAGUGUAUUUAUUGAAAAAUUUCAAAAAAAAAAAAAAACUCUGAACUUGCCCUCUCUCUCUUUCUCUCUCUGCAACUGCAAACUACAAAAUCUACAAGAAUCAGAAGUUCAAAACGGAUAUAUUUCAGUUUAUCUAUCUGUCUGCAAGAAUCAAAAGUUCAAAACCCAUAUCCUAUUUGGUGAGGCUUGUUCAGAGGGAUGGGAUGUUUCUAAGGGUGGUUGCCCCUCUCUGUAAACGAUGAUCUCCUACAAAAUAAGGGAUGGGAGAUCAUCUAGAGCCAAUUAUUUCAUUUCCUACAGAAUCAACAGCCCUUUGUGUAUGUGUGUGUGUGUAUAUAUAUAUAUAUAUUUUGGUAAGUCUUUGUGUAUGUGUGUGUGUAUAUAUAUAUAUAUAUAUAUAUAUAUUUGUGUGUGUGAGCUCGCGCUGUGGACUAGUGCAUCUCCAAUCCUCCUCCUUCCAUCAUCAUCAAUCAUCAAUCAUCAUUAUAUGAGGCUGUGAUGAUAUAUGUUCUAAGUGGAUCAUACUGGCAUUGAGAAUCGGAUCCGUUUGUUGGCGGGGCAAACCAGAGGGGGUCUGUGGGAGAGAGAUUUGGUUCUUCUCUCACAGGCAACUGUUGUUGCAGCCAGGGCGGUGGGAUAUACUCUUGCCCUGAUCAAAAGCAGAUCUGAGCCUCAAUUGUAAGUUAUGAAUUAUGUAUCCAUAAAUAAAACUCUGUGAGCCUCAAUUAACCCACAGGGACUGUUUUGCACUAUAUCUAAAAUUGGCCUCAAAAUUUGAGGCCCAUAGGGAUGGAAAAAAAAAAAAAAAAAAAAAAGGUAAGUUAGGGCAAGUUUCAGAGGACACAAUCUGCUUCGACACUCCGCAGGGCACAGCCUCAUGUGACAAUGUAUGUUCAUUCUCUCUCUCUCUUCUCUCUCCUUGCAUGAAUCGAUCUUUUAUAUAUGUUUCUUUCGAUCAUCUCAUCGUUUGAUUUGUUCUAACUUUGGUUCGUUUGAUUAGGGCCUUUACCUUUGUUCCAGGGCCGGCCCUGACCCAAGGCAACAAAGGCGGUCGCCUAGGGCCUCAAAAUUUAUAAGCCCAUGGAUGAUGGGCCACCAGAAAAAAAAAAAAAAAAAAAAAAAAAAAAAAAUAGUUUUAGGGCAAAUCAUUUCAGCCUCCCCAAUCGCCUCCAUCUCUAUUCUUGUUCUCCACUCUGAGCUUGCCCUGCACUCGGAAAAAUGAUGAGGCUCGUUCAGAGGGAUGGGAUGUUUCUAAGGGUGGUUGCCCCUCUCUGUAAACGAUGAUCUCCUACAAAAUAAGGGAUGGGAGAUCAUCUAGAGCCAAUGAUUUCAUUUCCUACACAAUCAACAGCCCUUUGUGUAUGUAUAUAUAUAUAUUUGUGUGUGCGCACGCGCUGUGGACUGGUGCAUCUCCAAUCCUUCUUCCAUCAUCAUCAUCAUCAUCAUCAUCAUCAUCACCAAUCAUCAAUAAUCAUUAUAAGAGGCUGUGAUGAUAUAUGUUCUGAGUGGAUCAUACUGGCUGGCAUUGAGAAUCGGAUCCGUUUGUUGGCGGGGCAAACCAGAGGGUCUGUGGGAGAGAGAUUUGGUUCUUCUCUCACAGGCAACUGUUGUUGCAGCCAGGGCGGUGGGAUAUACUCUUGCCCUGAUCAAAAGCAAAUCUGAGCCUCAAUUGUAAGUGUAUUUUAUUUAAAAAAAAAAAAAAAAAAAACUCCGAACUUGCCCUCUCUCUCUCUCUCUCUCUCUCUCUGCAACUGCAAACUACAAAAUCUACAAGAAUCAGAAGUUCAAAACCCAUAUUUUUCAGUUUAUCAAUCUGUCUGCAAGAAUCAAAAGUUCUAAGGGUGGUUGUCCCUCUCUGUAAACGAUGAUAUCCUACAAAAUAAGGGAUGGGAGAUCAUCUAGAGCCAAUGAUUUCAUUUCCUACAGAAUCAACAGCCCUUUGUGUAUGUGUGUGUGUGUAUAUAUAUAUAUAUAUUUUGGUAAGUCUUUGUGUAUGUGUGUGUGUAUAUAUAUAUAUAUAUAUAUAUUUGUGUGUGUGAGCUCGCGCUGUGGACUGGUGCAUCUCCAAUCCUCCUCCUUCCAUCAUCAUCAAUCAUCAAUCAUCAUUAUAUGAGGCUGUGAUGAUAUAUGUUCUAAGUGGAUCAUACUGGCAUUGAGAAUCGGAUCCGUUUGUUGGCGGGGCAAACCAGAGGGGGUCUGUGGGAGAGAGAUUUGGUUCUUCUCUCACAGGCAACUGUUGUUGCAGCCAGGGCGGUGGGAUAUACUCUUGCCCUGAUCAAAAGCAGAUCUGAGCCUCAAUUGUAAGUUAUGAAUUAUGUAUCCAUAAAUAAAACUCUGUGAGCCUCAAUUAACCCACAGGGACUGUUUUGCACUAUAUCUAAAAUUGGCCUCAAAAUUUGAGGCCCAUAGGGAUGGAAAAAAAAAAAAAAAAAAGGUAAGUUAGGGCAAGUUUCAGAGGACACAAUCUGCUUCGACACUCCGCAGGGCACAGCCUCAUGUGACAAUGUAUGUUCAUUCUCUCUCUCUCUUCUCUCUCCUUUUGCAUGAAUCGAUCUUUUAUAUAUGUUUCUUUCGAUCAUCUCAUCGUUUGAUUUGUUCUAACUUUGGUUCGUUUGAUUAGGGCCUUUACCUUUGUUCCAGGGCCGGCCCUGACCCAAGGCAACAAAGGCGGUCGCCUAGGGCCUCAAAAUUUAUAAGCCCAUGGAUGAUGGGCCACCAGAAAAAAAAAAAAAAAAAAAAAAAAAAAAAAAAUAGUUUUAGGGCAAAUCAUUUCAGCCUCCCCAAUCGCCUCCAUCUCUAUUCUUGUUCUCCACUCUGAGCUUGCCCUGCACUCGGAAAAAUGAUGAGGCUCGUUCAGAGGGAUGGGAUGUUUCUAAGGGUGGUUGCCCCUCUCUGUAAACGAUGAUCUCCUACAAAAUAAGGGAUGGGAGAUCAUCUAGAGCCAAUGAUUUCAUUUCCUACACAAUCAACAGCCCUUUGUGUAUGUAUAUAUAUAUAUUUGUGUGUGCGCGCGCGCUGUGGACUGGUGCAUCUCCAAUCCUUCUUCCAUCAUCAUCAUCAUCAUCAUCAUCAUCAUCACCAAUCAUCAAUAAUCAUUAUAAGAGGCUGUGAUGAUAUAUGUUCUGAGUGGAUCAUACUGGCUGGCAUUGAGAAUCGGAUCCGUUUGUUGGCGGGGCAAACCAGAGGGUCUGUGGGAGAGAGAUUUGGUUCUUCUCUCACAGGCAACUGUUGUUGCAGCCAGGGCGGUGGGAUAUACUCUUGCCCUGAUCAAAAGCAAAUCUGAGCCUCAAUUGUAAGUGUAUUUUAUUUAAAAAAAAAAAAAAAAAAACUCCGAACUUGCCCUCUCUCUCUCUCUCUCUCUCUCUCUGCAACUGCAAACUACAAAAUCUACAAGAAUCAGAAGUUCAAAACCCAUAUUUUUCAGUUUAUCAAUCUGUCUGCAAGAAUCAAAAGUUCUAAGGGUGGUUGUCCCUCUCUGUAAAUGAUGAUAUCCUACAAAAUAAGGGAUGGGAGAUCAUCUAGAGCCAAUGAUUUCAUUUCCUACAGAAUCAACAGCCCUUUGUGUAUGUGUGUGUGUGUGUGUAUAUAUAUAUAUUUUGGUAAGUCUUUGUGUAUGUGUGUGUGUGUAUAUAUAUAUAUAUAUAUAUAUUUGUGUGUGUGAGCUCGCGCUGUGGACUGGUGCAUCUCCAAUCCUCCUCCUUCCAUCAUCAUCAAUCAUCAAUCAUCAUUAUAUGAGGCUGUGAUGAUAUAUGUUCUAAGUGGAUCAUACUGGCAUUGAGAAUCGGAUCCGUUUGUUGGCGGGGCAAACCAGAGGGGGUCUGUGGGAGAGAGAUUUGGUUCUUCUCUCACAGGCAACUGUUGUUGCAGCCAGGGCGGUGGGAUAUACUCUUGCCCUGAUCAAAAGCAGAUCUGAGCCUCAAUUGUAAGUUAUGAAUUAUGUAUCCAUAAAUAAAACUCUGUGAGCCUCAAUUAACCCACAGGGACUGUUUUGCACUAUAUCUAAAAUUGGCCUCAAAAUUUGAGGCCCAUAGGGAUGGAAAAAAAAAAAAAAAAAAAAAAAAAGGUAAGUUAGGGCAAGUUUCAGAGGACACAAUCUGCUUCGACACUCCGCAGGGCACAGCCUCAUGUGACAAUGUAUGUUCAUUCUCUCUCUCUCUUCUCUCUCCUUUUGUAUGAAUCGAUCUUUUAUAUAUGUUUCUUUCGAUCAUCUUAUCGUUUGAUUUGUUCUAACUUUGGUUCGUUUGAUUAGGGCCUUUACCUUUGUUCCAGGGCCGGCCCUGACCCAAGGCAACAAAGGCGGUCGCCUAGGGCCUCAAAAUUUAUAAGCCCAUGGAUGAUGGGCCACCAGAAAAAAAAAAAAAAAAAAAAAAUAGUUUUAGGGCAAAUCAUUUCAGCCUCCCCAAUCGCCUCCAUCUCUAUUCUUGUUCUCCACUCUGAGCUUGCCCUGCACUCGGAAAAAUGAUGAGGCUCGUUCAGAGGGAUGGGAUGUUUCUAAGGGUGGUUGCCCCUCUCUGUAAACGAUGAUCUCCUACAAAAUAAGGGAUGGGAGAUCAUCUAGAGCCAAUGAUUUCAUUUCCUACACAAUCAACAGCCCUUUGUGUAUGUAUAUAUAUAUAUUUGUGUGUGCGCGCGCGCUGUGGACUGGUGCAUCUCCAAUCCUUCUUCCAUCAUCAUCAUCAUCAUCAUCAUCAUCAUCACCAAUCAUCAAUAAUCAUUAUAAGAGGCUGUGAUGAUAUAUGUUCUGAGUGGAUCAUACUGGCUGGCAUUGAGAAUCGGAUCCGUUUGUUGGCGGGGCAAACCAGAGGGUCUGUGGGAGAGAGAUUUGGUUCUUCUCUCACAGGCAACUGUUGUUGCAGCCAGGGCGGUGGGAUAUACUCUUGCCCUGAUCAAAAGCAAAUCUGAGCCUCAA